UACGUAGGGUGCAAGCGUUGUUCGGAGUUACUGGGCGUAAAGGGUGUGUAGGCGGUUGUUUAAGUUUGGUGUGAAAUCUCCCGGCUCAACUGGGAGGGUGCGCCGAAUACUGAAUGACUAGAGUGCGGGAGAGGAAAGUGGAAUCCUGGUGUAGCGGUGAAAUGCGUAGAUAUCAGGAGGAACACCGGUGGUGUAGACGGCUUUCUGGACCGUAACUGACGCUGAGACACGAAAGCGUGGGUAGCAAACAGG
rnacentral:rRNA from 1 species